ensembl:snRNA U6 U6 spliceosomal RNA
UCUUGCUUCAGCAGGGCAUAUACUAAAAUUGGAACCAUACAGAGAAGAUUAGCAUGGCUCCUGCUCAAGGAUGACAUGCAUGCAAAUUCGUGAAGGGUUCCAUAUAUUU